rnacentral:rRNA from 1 species
GAUCCUGGCUUAGAACGAACGCUGGUAGCGUGGAUUAGGCAUGCAAGUCGAACGGGAUCCGGCGGGUAGCAAUAUUCGCUGGUGAGAGUGGCGGACUGGGGAGGAACACGUGAGCAACCUGCCCUGGAGAUGUGGAAAACCGUUGGAAACGACGGCUAAUACAGAAUGUGGCGUCCCGCGGCAUCGCGGGAGCGCUGAAGGGGGCCGCAAGGCUCCCGCUCCGGGAUGGGCUCGCGCACCAUCAGCUUGUUGGCGGGGUAACGGCCCACCAAGGCUUACGGUUAGCUGGUCUGAGAGGAUGACCAGCCCCACUGGGACUGAGAUACUGCCCAGACUCCUACGGGAGGCUGCAGUCGAGGAUCAUUUGCAAUGGGCGAAAGCCUGACAAUGCGACGCUGCGUGGAGGAUGAAGGCCUUCGGGUCGUAAACUCCUGUCAUAAGGGAAAAGGCGAGGGCACCCAACACGUGCCUUAGUUGAUUGUACUUUAAGAGGAAGGGACGGCUAACUCUGUGCCAGCCGCCGC